CAGCAGCCGCGGUAAAACGUAGGUGGCAAGCGUUGUCCGGAAUUAUUGGGCGUAAAGGGCUCGCAGGCGGUUUCUUAAGUCUGAUGUGAAAGCCCCCGGCUCAACCGGGGAGGGUCAUUGGAAACUGGGAAACUUGAGUGCAGAAGAGGAGAGUGGAAUUCCACGUGUAGCGGUGAAAUGCGUAGAGAUGUGGAGGAACACCAGUGGCGAAGGCGACUCCCUGGUCUGUAACUGACGCUGAGGAGCGAAAGCGUGGGGAGCGAACAGGAUUAGAGACCCCUGUAGUCCCUGUCUCUUAUAA
rnacentral:rRNA from 1 species